CCUACGGGAGGCAGCAGUGGGGAAUAUUGCACAAUGGGGGAAACCCUGAUGCAGCGACGCCGCGUGAACGAAGAAGUAUUUCGGUAUGUUAAGCUCUAUCAGUAGGGAAGUAAAUGAAGGUACCUGAGUAUGAAGCUCCGGCUAAAUACGUGCCAGCAGCCGCGGUAAGACGUAGGGAGCCAGCGUAAUCCGGAUUUACUGGGCGUAAAGGGAGCGUAGGCGGGUUGCCAAGUCUGAUGUGAAAUAUCGGGGCUCAACCCCGGGGCUGCAUUGGAAACUGGCAGGCUGGAGUGCCGGUGAGGCAGGCGGAAUGCGUGGUGUAGCGGUGAAAUGCGUAGAUAUUAGGAAGAACACCGGUGGCGAAGGCAGCCUGCUGGACGGUGACUGACGCUGAGGCUCGAAAGCGUGGGGAGCAAACAGGAUUAGAUACCCGGGUAGUC
rnacentral:rRNA from 1 species